CAGCCAUCCGAUUUCAACCGGACACCUAGGCGUAUCGAAAACCCCUUCGCCACGCCACUGCCAGUUAUACGGUACGCCUUUACGGUUAACAUUAACGGUUUCAUAGUUUCUGUAACAUUUUUCGGAUACUAAAACAAAAUAAUUUUUUAGGAAAACAAUGUCAAAUCGAGAAAUUUACCCCACUGUUUUGUAGGAAAAUAAUCGGUCCAAAAUGAAAUCUGUCGUC